CCUGGCAUAAUGAUGAUUUCCUUUUUGCCGUUUACCCAGCUGAAUAUUAUUUCCUUGAUGUGAGCUGAAUCUGAGAUGCCAGC
rnacentral:snoRNA from 1 species